CCUACGGGAGACAGCAGUGGGGAAUAUUGCACAAUGGGGGGAACCCUGAUGCAGCGACGCCGCGUGGGUGAAGGAGUAUUUCGGUAUGUAAAGCCCUAUCAGCAGGGAAGAACAAUGACGGUACCUGACUAAGAAGCACCGGCUAAAUACGUGCCAGCAGCCGCGGUAAUACGUAUGGUGCAAGCGUUAUCCGGAUUUACUGGGUGUAAAGGGAGCGUAGACGGCAGCACAAGUCUGGAGUGAAAUGCCGGGGCUUAACCCCGGAACUGCUUUGGAAACUGUGCAGCUAGAGUGCAGGAGAGGUAAGUGGAAUUCCUGGUGUAGCGGUGAAAUGCGUAGAUAUCAGGAGGAACACCGGCGGCGAAGGCGGCCUGCUGGACCGCGACUGACGUUGAGGCUCGAAAGCGUGGGGAGCGAACAGGAUUAGAUACCCGUGUAGUC
rnacentral:rRNA from 1 species